rnacentral:rRNA from 1 species
ACGCUCGACACCUACGAGAGGCAGCAGUGGGGAAUAUUGCACAAUGGGGGAAACCCUGAUGCAGCGACGCCGCGUGAGCGAAGAAGUAUCUCGGUAUGUAAAGCUCUAUCAGCAGGGAAGAAGAAUGACGGUACCUGACUAAGAAGCUCCGGCUAAAUACGUGCAGCAGCCGCGGUAAUCUGAGCGGGCUGGCAAGGC